CGCCGGAACCCUCUACUCGGAUCGUCCGGCACGUUCCUGCCGGUGAAGGGAAGUGAUC
rfam:Nocardia cyriacigeorgica GTH-2 chromosome complete genome